GUCGGAACGUGCCCAGAGGACGGGGAUAGCGGCGGGAAACUGCCGGUAAUACCCGAUGAUCUCGAGAGAGCAAAGGUGUGAUUCCGCCUUUGGAGCGGCCGACAUGGUAUUAGCUAGUUGGUGGGGUAACGGCCCACCAAGGCUUUGAUGCCUAGGGGAUGUGAGAGCAUGAUCCCCACCAUUGGGACUGAGACACUGCCCAGACACCUACGGGUGGCUGCAGUCGAGAAUCUUCGUCAAUGGGCGAAAGCCUGAACGAGCGACGCCGCGUGCGGGAUGAAGGCCCUUGGGUUGUAAACCGCUGUCGAGGGGGAUGAAGGCUUGAAGGUACUCCUUCAAGUUUGACAGAGCCCUGGAGGAAGCACGGGCUAAGUUCGUGCCAGCAGCCGCGGUAAUACGAACUGUGCGAACGUUAUUCGGAAUCACUGGGCUUACAGGGUGCGUAGGCGGCCGAACAAGUCAGGUGUGAAAGCCCUCGGCUCAACCGAGGAACUGCGCUUGAAACUGUUUGGCUC
rnacentral:rRNA from 1 species